UCCAAUGAUGGUAUGAAAUCUUUGAGACCUGAUCUUUUUGUUUUUACAUUUGAUGACAACUAUAAGCAAAUUCACUGAGGAU